rnacentral:rRNA from 1 species
UAAUACGUAGGGGCCGAGCGUUGUCCGGAGUUAUUGGGCGUAAAGCGCGCGCAGGCGGCGCCGCGCGCCCGCCGUGAAAGCCCCCGGCUUAACCGGGGAGAGUCGGUGGGGACGGCGGCGCUUGAGGGCGGGAGAGGUCGGUGGAAUUCCCGGUGUAGUGGUGAAAUGCGUAGAGAUCGGGAGGAACACCUGUGGCGAAGGCGGCCGACUGGGCCGACCCUGACGCUGAGGCGCGAAGGCGUGGGGAGCGAACGGGAUUAGAUACCCCGGUAGUCCACGCAGUAAACGAUGCAGACUAGGCGUGGGUGGACUUGACCCCAUCCGUGCCGGAGCUAACGCGGGAAGUCUGCCGCCUGGGGAGUACGGCCGCAAGGCUA